rnacentral:rRNA from 1 species
UACGGAGGGUGCAAACGUUGCCCGGAAUCAUUGGGCGUAAAGCGCACGUAGGCGGCCUGAUAAGUCGGGUGUGAAAGCCCUGGGCUCAACCCAGGAAGUGCACUCGAAACUGUCAGGCUUGAAUAUGGAAGAGGGUCGCGGAAUUCCUGGUGUAGCGGUGAAAUGCGCAGAUAUCAGGAGGAACACCGGUGGCGAAGGCGGGUCUCUGGGCCGAAAUUGACGCUGAGGAGCGAAAGCGUGGGGAGCAAACAGA